UCCUGUUAGGAAUAGAAGGAGAACCUCGUCCUAACAUGAGCUAAAAUUGACUGUCGAAAAUAAGAGGAGAACCUCGUCCUGACACAAACAAAGACCCAGUCGAUCAAGAUCGGAUGAGGAGAAAAGCCUCCUCAACGGCUCCUCUACGCUCUCACGACCCCGUUAAGAGCAAAGAAAAAACCCUCACUCGAACACAAAAAAAAGAAGAAGGGGGG
rnacentral:lncRNA from 1 species